rnacentral:rRNA from 1 species
AUUGAACGCUGGCGGCAGGCUUAACACAUGCAAGUCGAACGAUGAUUAUCUAGCUUGCUAGAUAUGAUUAGUGGCGGACGGGUGAGUAACAUUUAGGAAUCUGCCUAGUAGUGGGGGAUAGCUCGGGGAAACUCGAAUUAAUACCGCAUACGACCUACGGGUGAAAGGGGGCGCAAGCUCUUGCUAUUAGAUGAGCCUAAAUCAGAUUAGCUAGUUGGUGGGGUAAAGGCCCACCAAGGCGACGAUCUGUAACUGGUCUGAGAGGAUGAUCAGUCACACCGGAACUGAGACACGGUCCGGACUCCUACGGGAGGCAGCAGUGGGGAAUAUUGGACAAUGGGGGCAACCCUGAUCCAGCCAUGCCGCGUGUGUGAAGAAGGCCUUUUGGUUGUAAAGCACUUUAAGCAGGGAGGAGAGGCUAAUGGUUAAUACCCAUUAGAUUAGACGUUACCUGCAGAAUAAGCACCGGCUAACUCUGUGCCAGCAGCCGCGGUAAUACAGAGGGUGCGAGCGUUAAUCGGAAUUACUGGGCGUAAAGCGAGUGUAGGUGGCUCAUUAAGUCACAUGUGAAAUCCCCGGGCUUAACCUGGGAACUGCAUGUGAUACUGGUGGUGCUAGAAUAUGUGAGAGGGAAGUAGAAUUCCAGGUGUAGCGGUGAAAUGCGUAGAGAUCUGGAGGAAUACCGAUGGCGAAGGCAGCUUCCUGGCAUAAUAUUGACACUGUGAUUCGAAAGCGUGGGUAGCAAACAGGAUUAGAUACCCUGGUAGUCCACGCCGUAAACGAUGUCUACUAGCCGUUGGGGUCCUUGAGACUUUAGUGGCGCAGUUAACGCGAUAAGUAGACCGCCUGGGGAGUACGGCCGCAAGGUUAAAGCUCAAAUGAAUUGACGGGGGCCCGCACAAGCGGUGGAGCAUGUGGUUUAAUUCGAUGCAACGCGAAGAACCUUACCUGGUCUUGACAUAGUGAGAAUCCUGCAGAGAUGCGGGAGUGCCUUCGGGAAUUCACAUACAGGUGCUGCAUGGCUGUCGUCAGCUCGUGUCGUGAGAUGUUGGGUUAAGUCCCGCAACGAGCGCAACCCUUUUCCUUAUUUGCCAGCGGGUUAAGCCGGGAACUUUAAGGAUACUGCCAGUGACAAACUGGAGGAAGGCGGGGACGACGUCAAGUCAUCAUGGCCCUUACGACCAGGGCUACACACGUGCUACAAUGGUAGGUACAGAGGGUUGCUACACAGCGAUGUGAUGCUAAUCUCAAAAAGCCUAUCGUAGUCCGGAUUGGAGUCUGCAACUCGACUCCAUGAAGUCGGAAUCGCUAGUAAUCGCAGAUCAGAAUGCUGCGGUGAAUACGUUCCCGGGCCU